rnacentral:rRNA from 1 species
AUUGAACGCUGGCGGCAGGCCUAACACAUGCAAGUCGAGCGCGCGGCGGACGGGUGAGUAAUGUCUGGGAAACUGCCUGAUGGAGGGGGAUAAAUCCUGGAGACGGUAGCUAAUAUCGCAUACCAUCAGAUGUGCCCAGAUUGGAUUAGCUAGUUGGUGGGGUAACGGCUCACCUAGACGACGAGCCCCAGCUGGUCUGAGAGGAUGACCCGCCACACUGGGACUGAGACACGGUCCAGACUCCUACGGGAGGCAGCAGUGGGGAAUAUUGCACAAUGGGCGCAAGCCUGAUGCAGCCAUGCCGCGUGUGUGAAGAAGGCCUUCGGGUUGUAAAGCACUUUCGGCGGGGAGGCGUUACCCGCAGAAGAAGCACCGGCUAACUCCGUGCCAGCAGCCGCGGUAAUUC